AUUGAACGCUGGCGGCAGGCCUAACACAUGCAAGUCGAGCGAGCGGCGGAAGGGUGAGUAAUGUCUGGGAAACUGCCUGAGGGAGGGGGAAAACUACUGGAAACGGUAGCUACUACUGCAUACCAUCAGAUGUGCUCAGAGUGGAUUAGCUAGUAGGGGGGGAAAUGGCUCACCUAGGCGAAGAUCCCUAGCAGGGCUGAGAGGAUGACCAGCCACACUGGAACUGAGACACGGUCCAGACUCCGACGGGAGGCAGCAGUAGGGAAUAUUGCACAAUGGGCGCAAGCCUGAUGCAGCCAUGCCGCGUGUGUGAAGAAGGCCUUCGGGUUGUAAAGCACUUUCAGCGAGGAGGCGUUACUCGCAGAAGAAGCACCGGCUAACUCCGUGCCAGCAGCCGCGGUAAUAC
rnacentral:rRNA from 1 species